rnacentral:rRNA from 1 species
AACGUAGGAGGCGAGCGUUAUCCGGAUUUACUGGGUGUAAAGCGCGUGCAGGCGGUUUGAUAAGUUGGAUGUGAAAGCUCCUGGCUCAACUGGGAGAGGUCGUUCAAAACUAUCAGACUAGAGAGUGGUAGAGGAAAGUGGAAUUCCCGGUGUAGUGGUGAAAUGCGUAGAUAUCGGGAGGAACACCAGUGGCGAAGGCGGCUUUCUGGACCAUUUCUGACGCUCAGACGCGAAAGCUAGGGUAGCAAACGGGAUUAGAGACCCCGGUAGUCCUAGCAGUAAACGAUGUGAACUUGGCGUUGGUGGUGUAAAAACCAUCAGUGCCGAAGCUAACGCGAUAAGUUCACCACCUGGGAACUACGGCCGCAAGGUUA